GUGGCUUGGGACCGUGUGGAGAGUGCGGGCGCUGGACAGCAGCUCCGGCCCCUCACCGACGCGCAGCCCGCGCCUGGGCCGACCUGUUGACUGAAAAUCAGCCGGCGCUUGGCCAGAUGCGUCGAUGGAGGCCCGCAGCCCAGCGACGACGUGGUAGUCAUGGCUGAAGCGGCGCCUGCCCCGAAAUCACACUGUGGACCGUGGUGCCUGCUGUUCAGGCCUUGGAGAAGAAAAGUGGAUUCUUGCCUGGCCCGCUUGCUGACUCUGGAGGGAUGCUCAGGGACAGCAGAGAAGAAGCUGGCUGACUGUGAGAAGACAGCUGUGGAGUUCAGCAGCCAGCUGGAGGGCAAGUUGGCCGUGCUGGGGACCCUGCCUCAGGAGUCUAGGCUGCUGCAUGAAGAACCUCAUGGGCAACUGGAACUUCUGGGUCCAGCGGCUUCCCCCUGGCAACAAGGGGGAGGUCCCCAAGGUAUUUCUCUGAGUCCAGAGCAGGCCCCAAGUCCAGCUAGCCCUGCCCAGGAGGAACUGAAUCAAAGGCAGACACCUGAGCAGCAGCAAGAGGAAGCAACCAUGAUUCCACCUGAGCCAGGCACUGGGAUUCCAGCAAGCACCAGCCCUUUAUCACUUAAACAGGAGGAAGAAUCUGCAGAGGGAGGAGAGUUGCCACCCUCCCCUUCCACAGAUAGCCUGCUUUCUGUGGAGCCAGACAGAAGCCCCAUCUGAGGAUCAACCUGAGCAGAACCUUCUGCAGUCCUGCAGCCAGUCCGUAUUUAGAGUCCACAGAAGGACCAGGAUUAAGACCAGGGGCCACAGAUGGCAUCACACGGAUUGGGGAACCUCAGGCAGCAGAGGAUAUGGGAGAGCCACCCUGUAUCCUUCCUCAGCCACAGAAGCAGGCAUUCCUGUGCCCUGACUGUGGGCAGAGCUUCUGCUUGAAGAUUAAUCUGACAAUCCAUUAGCAGACCCAUGUAGAAAAGAAACACAAGGAGGCUUGGAGUGGCUUGCCUAUUAGGUCAGGGAAAAGCCACUCCACACUGGAACCAGAGAAAGUGGUGGUGCCAGGCCCUGUCAUCCACUGGCCACCUGAGGAGCCCACAAGCCACCGGUCUCCAACAAGCCAUGCCUUCAUGAGACAAAGGCCAGCAACUACAGUUUACCACUGUAGUGAAUGUCUUCACUCCUUUCAGCAACAGAAGAGCCUGGUAUUACACCAGCAUCAGCACACAGGCAAGAGGCAGAGCUGGCCUGCCUGUCCCUACUGUGGCAAGGCCUCCCGCCGGCCCUCAGACCUCUUUUGUCACCAGUGUAUCCAUACUGGUGAGCGUUCCUAUCAGUGCCCCCAGUGUGGCAAGGAGCCACCACCUGGCUGUCCACAUGCAGACUCAUUCCUGAGGCUAAACAAUCCUGCAUUUCCUCUUGCUUUCUGUCCUCCAGGGAAGUCCAGCCCUGCAAGGGCCCAGCUCUGAACAGGACAGGACCUGCACUGUCUCAGGGCCUUUCCCUUGUGCCUGCCAAGUGGUGGAAGUUCCUUCACUUUCCAGCUGAGUUGGUACUUUAGGGGCCCUUCAAAAGCACAAGCUCCAGACCAGGAAUUUGAGGUGAUAGUGUCAUGCCUCAAAGUCAUGAGAGCGGGUGCUUCAUGUGCCUCUUUGUCACAGCACCUUGGGGACAGCCUUGUGGAGCUUCUGGAGCUGGGUGAUGGAUUCCAAUUCUGAUAGUUUGCUCUCUUGUUUGGCACUCAGACACCAGAGCACAUGAAGGCUCCCAGGUGCCUUCAUCCCUGGCUGUGCUAUUGCUAAAGUCCUGCAGACUCUGUAGCCACUCAGAAGUCCUGCACAGACGAGGCAGAGGGUGACACUGCCGUCAUUCCCAGGGUAGGGGUAUGACUGGCAAGACUGUGGCAUGCAGCCAUGGUUCUGGACGUUACUUGCCUGCACACCCAACCGUUGUUUAGGCCCUGCAAGCAAGACAGCAGUUGUCAGUAAGCGCUCAGACUGAACGUGGACAGUAUAGCUGCCCCAAACUUAAUCCUCCGCUGCAAGCACUCAUGUUGCUGUUCUGGGGGUUCCUAGGCCUCUCUUCUAAUGCUUUAGAUGUUCUCUGGAAAACAAGUAUUCAUAUUUGAAGCACAAAUCCAAGUGCUGGGGUGGGGGAAGAGGCGCUGUAUAAUCCUGGCUCGCCUUGGGCUUGCAGUGAAUUUUUUUCCCCUACCUCUAUCUACCUACUAGGAUUUCCUUGCUUGUGCCAUUAUGCACAACUGGGCUUACUGCAUUUAACCUGAAAUUCAAUAGGACAGGUUAAAGAGUAUUUUGAGUUAAGAAUGAACAAAGGCUGCAUGGUUGCCUGAGCUCAAAGACGUUGGAUCCCAGAUUCUGAUGACUUAUUUUGUAAAACAAAGAUAUGGUUGGGUUGGUUACAAGGCCCUAAGAACCAUGGAGGUGGAAAUAUUAACUUAAUCGGUGCUCUAUAAAUACACUGGAAAAUGUA
rnacentral:lncRNA from 1 species